rnacentral:lncRNA from 1 species
AUGAGAGGGAGACCUGACUCCGGCAGCUGCUACAGACGCCACCGAGAAGUCCAACAAAGGUUUCCUCUAUGUUGCCUUUUGAGACUCCUGGCAAGAAUGAGGGAAAGAACAAACAAGCAUAAGGCAACUAGAACUUACGUCCAUCACCGUCCCUCAAAACGGAGCCCUGGCCGCGCACAGGGGACUGUCCAGGCCCCACUGAGACACCCCUUGGAGAGGCAGCUCGGAGAGUCGGACAGCCUCGGCCCCUCAGCCCCUGCUCAGUCAGCUCUGCUCUCUGGGUCUGCUUCUCCUGCCCGAGCCCAGCCAUCAGAGGGGCCUUCAGGUACCUGGAGGCAGCGGCCAUGCCCAGUGUCCACCUCCCGUUCCCUGGGGCCCUCGUCUGGGUGCUCUUGUGUUGAAUGGUAAUGUUCUCCCCCAGUGCAAGCCACCGCGCGCCGUCUCUAUCCUAGACCCCAAACAACCCCACAACUAGACUCCCCAUCGCCUCUUCCCGCCCGCGGUCAGAAUUGUGCGCACUGACCAGAGGCAUCUUUUACCACCGUAAGCUGAAGCACGUCGCUCUCUGGCUUAAGUACCUCCUGUGGCUUCCCACAGCCUUCAGGGGCCACACGCCUGGUCCUCCUAGCUGGCUCUCUCCAAUCCCGGCUGCACCCUCACCUCGGAGAAGCGUCCCCCGGCCUCCCGUCCACCCCAGCACCUCGGACAGCACCAGCCGGGCCCCGCCUCCGGCCUGCGAGCCGGUCCUCCCAACCGGUCCUCCGAGAU